AUUGAACGCUGGCGGCAGGCCUAACACAUGCAAGUCGAACGGUAGCACAGAGAGCUUGCUCUCGGGUGACGAGUGGCGGACGGGUGAGUAACGUCUGGGAAACUGCCCGAUGGAGGGGGAUAACUACUGGAAACGGUAGCUAAUACCGCAUAACGUCGCAAGACCAAAGUGGGGGACCUUCGGGCCUCACACCAUCGGAUGUGCCCAGGUGGGAUUAGCUAGUAGGUGGGGUAAUGGCUCACCUAGGCGACGAUCCCUAGCUGGUCUGAGAGGAUGACCGGCCACACUGGAACUGAGACACGGUCCAGACUCCUACGGGAGGCAGCAGUGGGGAAUAUUGCACAAUGGGCGCAAGCCUGAUGCAGCCAUGCCGCGUGUAUGAAGAAGGCCUUCGGGUUGUAAAGUACUUUCAGCGGGGAGGAAGGCGGUGAAGUUAACAGCUUCACCGAUUGACGUUACCCGCAGAAGAAGCACCGGCUAACUCCGUGCCAGCCGCCGCCGUAA
rnacentral:rRNA from 1 species